rnacentral:lncRNA from 1 species
UAAAAACUCUUUUCUAACUUUGUAACAGAGAAUGGAAAGUUCUUUUCCCACUGAGCGCUAUUGAAGAGAGAAGGCAUUUUCUUCCUGAUGGAACAGUAUCUGUUGAAGUGACCUUGAGAGCAUGUCUUUCUGGAAAAGAUGGAUGAAUCAUUUAGAGAGAAUGAAAAGUUCUUUUCCCACUGAGAGCUAUUGAAGAAAGAAGGCAUCUUCUUCCUGAUGGAACAAUAUCUGUUGAAGUGACCUUGAGAGCAUGUCUUUCUGGAAAAGAUGGAUGAAUCAUUUAGAGUGUUUCAGACUAAGAUUGGGAAGAAAAUUCUGAACUCAACAGGGACCAUGAAUAUGACACCAAAUACAAAUGAAAAUUUGAAAAUAAAAGCACUGUCCAUUUAUGGGCACAAUGACACAGAUAGUACAUCAAGAAUGAAAAUCCCUUCAUGAUGAGAGGCUGAAAGCCAAGGAGACAGAGGUCAAACAGGACAAGUAAAAAC